rnacentral:rRNA from 1 species
UACGUAGGGUGCAAGCGUUAAUCGGAAUUACUGGGCGUAAAGCGUGCGCAGGCGGUUCGCUAAGACAGAUGUGAAAUCCCCGGGCUUAACCUGGGAACUGCAUUUGUGACUGGCGGCUAGAGUAUGGCAGAGGGGGGUAGAAGUUCCACGUGUAGCAGUGAAAUGCGUAGAGAUGUGGAGGAAUACCGAUGGCGAAGGCAGCCCCCUGGGCCAAUACUGACGCUCAUGCACGAAAGCGUGGGGAGCAAACAGG